rnacentral:tRNA from 1 species
GGUACCAGAUAGCUCAGUCGGUAGAGCAACGGACUGAAAAUCCGUGUGUCGGCAGUUCGAUCCUGCUUCUCUACCACCA